GGGCUCCACUCCAGUCUGGACCAGGGGAACUGGUGUUUCUGCAGGUACAAUAGCUUGAGCAUUCUGCCACCCGCCCCGGGAAAGCCCGUGUGUGAUGUGGCCGCCAAGGCCAAGGCCCAGAGGAACCUGUCUGGGGACCUUCUGCAGAGUGGAGGGCUGCCGGUGGUCAGCAAAGGUGUGUUGGGGUGGUGGCAAGGUGCUGCUGCACUUCAUCCAGAAGUCUCCAGGCCACUGUGUCCCCCAGGAGAGCAUCCUGCAGGCCCUGGCAUCUCUGCAGAGGUCUGUGCCAGCCAGCCACUCCCGGUGAGCUGAGACCUCGGGAGGACCACCACUCCCUGGGCCGGCAUGGGGCGUGGCGUGGCGUGGCAUGGCGUGGCCACACACCGA